rnacentral:lncRNA from 12 species
UGCACGUGGAGAUCUCGGCAUGGCAGGAACCUCACCUCUACUAAGGAGCUGGCCUUGGAGUGUUGUUAGACUGAGCCACUGCUGCAUGCUGUUUGUGCAAAAUGCUGGCAAGAAGAAUAUCGAGUGAGUGCUCUGGACCUCUCUAGAAAGUGAGAUGCCUGCCUGCCCAGGGCAUUCAAGAGAGCCAGAUUCUAAAUAAAAUAGAGCCACAUCUUCA